AUCAAACUCCACCAAAUCCCUCGCUCGCUCACAGAGAUCCAAGGCGGCCGCUGCGGCUGGAGCGGACGCGCGCAGGAGAAGUUCGGCGAGCGCAAGGUGGAGGUGGCCGCCAUUUUCUCGGACCUGCCGUCCAUCGAGCGGGCCAGCCACCGCCGCCGCCAGCAGCAGCAGAAGGAGCAGCGGCAGCAGGUGCGGCCGGAGAUCCCCGCGUGGGGCUGGCGCCGGCCGAUGAAGAUAGGAGGGCAUCGCCAGCCCGGACACCCCGCUUGCCUUCCCUGAAGACGACGAGCACGACGAGGCGACAACGGCGGAGGACGAGGCCAAGGCCAGUGCGCAUAACAAGGUGAACCGCCAGGCCGCGAGCUCUGCGCCCGCUCGCCUCCCUCCGCGAGGCCGUGAGAUCUGCACCUACGACAGCCUCAAGCAGAUUCAGCAGAGCAAGAUAUAGCAAAGGUUGUACCACGGAGAGUAUCGUGUCUGGCUGACACAAACUCCAAAUAUCGCACCUCUUGUCAAAAGUUUACUGUAUGAACGAGGAUCAUACAUUUUCUUUGAUCUCAACCUUUGGGAUACAGUUAGAAGAAGGUUUCAUCAUAACAAUUUUUUUUAGUUUUUUGUAAAUUAACCUGGCCAUUUUGAUGAUUGUAGCACAUCAUUGUUCUCCAAUAUGAAACUAUAGAGAAGGGAUCUGCCGUACAUUUUUGUAACACGAUUCAGUAAACAGUCUGGAAACUUUAUUCCUUUUUAGAGAUUGAUUUACUUGGUGGUCC